rnacentral:rRNA from 1 species
UACGGAGGGUGCAAGCGUUAUCCGGAUUCACUGGGUUUAAAGGGUGCGUAGGAGGGCAGGUAAGUCAGUGGUGAAAUCUCCAAGCUUAACCUGGAAACUGCCGUUGAUACUAUCUGUCUUGAAUACCGUGGAGGUGAGCGGAAUAUGUCAUGUAGCGGUGAAAUGCUUAGAUAUGACAUAGAACACCAAUUGCGAAGGCAGCUCGCUACACGAAUAUUGACUCUGAGGCACGAAAGCGUGGGGAUCAAACAGG